UUGCGAAGGCAGCUUUCUGGAUCAUUACUGACACUGAGGAACGAAAGCAUGGGUAGCGAAGAGGAUUAGAUACCCUCGUAGUCCAUGCCGUAAACGAUGUGUGUUAGACGUUGGAAAUUUAUUUUCAGUGUCGCAGGGAAACCGAUAAACACACCGCCUGGGGAGUACGACCGCAAGGUUAAAACUCAAAUGAAUUGACGGGGACCCGCACAAGUAGUGGAGCAUGUGGUUUAAUUCGAAGAUACGCGCAGAACCUUACCAACACUUGACAUGUUCGUCGCGACUCUAAGAGAUUAGAGUUUUCGGUUUGGCCGGACGAAACACAGGUGCUGCAUGGCUGUCGUCAGCUCGUGUCGUGAGAUGUUGGGUUAAGUCCCGCAACGAGCGCAACCCUCACUUUUAGUUGCCAUCAUUAAGUUGGGCACUCUGAAAGAACUGCCAGUGAUAAGCUGGAGGAAGGUGGGGAUGACGUCAAGUCCUCAUGGCCCUUACGUGUUGGGCUACACACGUGCUACAAUGGCAUCUACAACAGGAAGCAAAACGGCAACGUUAAGCAAAUCCCGAAAAGAUGCCUCAGUUCGGAUUGCACUCUGCAACUCGAGUGCAUGAAGCUGGAAUUACUAGUAAUCGUGGAUCAGCGUGCCACGGUGAAUGCGUUCCCGGGUCUUGUACACACCGCCCGUCACACCAUGGGAGUUGGUUCUACCUUAAGGCAAGGUUUUAAACCCUUGACCACGGUAUAGUCAGCGACUGGGGUGAAGUCGUAACAAGGUAACCGUA
rnacentral:rRNA from 1 species